GCUGGGUGCAAUGCCAGGAGGGGGCCCCCUCGCUCUGGCGCUGCCCCUCGGCGCCGUGGCACCUGCAGUCCUGCGGCCCUGCCGGGGUCACCCACAUCGCCUGUGACGAGGACACCGAGGGAACGAGCGGGGCCACCACAACUGCAGGUAGCAGCUGCCAGCACAGGGAUGCUUGCACAGGUGGCUCUACCCGUGCUCAUUCACCCCUGCCCCUGCUGCCGUGCGGAUCCCAGCCUCACACUGCCCCUGGCCAUCCCUGCAGGUGUCACCAGCAGCGUUGCCCCACUGACAGCAGUGUCGGGGAGUGUGACUGUGCCCACGGUCCUGUGCGUGCUCCUGGGGACGUUGCUGGGCCUGGCCCUGGCAGCCCUGGCUGUGCAGGCACACCGCGCACGGGUGCAGCGCCGAGACCCUGUCAAAGCCACGGACGUUGGCUCUGAGGCCGUGUACGAGGAGCUGGAUUACAGCCUGAUGCCUGAGUACCAGGAGGUGCCCAGCAACACAGGCUCCCUGUCGAAGGGCUCAGGCAUGAAUCUGACGAUAAACAGCAGGGAUGGCAAUGAGGAGGAGAACGACACAGGGGCGGCCCCAGGUAGGGGAAGUGGAACUCGGCAUGGACUGGAAGGCACAGGGGACCCAAGGA
rnacentral:lncRNA from 1 species